rnacentral:rRNA from 1 species
CCCUUAGAUGUUCUGGGCCGCACGCGCGCUACACUGAUGCAUUCAACGAGUUUCUUCCUGGUCCGAGAGGAAUGGGUAACCUUUUGAAAGUGCAUCGUGAUAGGGAUAGACUAUUGCAAUUAUUGGUCUUCAACGAGGAAUUCCUAGUAGACGUAGUUCAUCAGACUGCAUCGAUUACGUCCCUGCCCUUUGUGCACACCGCCCGUCGCUCCUACCGAUUGAAUGCUCAGGUGAGCCAUUCGGACUUUCAUCAUGCUGGUUUCCAGUUUUGAUGAAGGAAAGUCUUGCGAACCUUAUCAUUUAGAGGAAGGAGAAGUCGUAACA